rnacentral:snoRNA from 1 species
GUUCAGUGAUGAUUCCCCAUGCGUGUCAGCUGACGCCAGCCCCUCCACGCCCUACUCCAGGCGUUCUGCCUCUGGGUUGGCUGGCCGGGGCAUUCUGGGUGUGAUCAGAGUUCCUUGUCUGAGAAC